CCCAGUGGAAAGUUGAGUUGCAAUGGAUACAGCAGAUUGUCAAGUAGACUCCAGUUCAUGAAAGGUUUCUGAAACUUGAUAAGAAAACUGCCGAUCUUGUUGGUAAUGAGAAGCUGAAGGCUAGUGCCAGUGUUAGACAUCUUGUUCUUCCCUGUACGCGUCAAGCAAGAGUACAACUUAUUCCAGAUAUUAUUCACUGUUAUAGCCGUGGAGGCCGUACCAUUAUUUUUACUGA